CUUCUAGUCCCCAGGCUCUCCGUCCUGUUUCGUCCUCCCUUCCUUCCUCCUCACUCCUCCACAAAUUGAACACCUGUCUGUGCCAGAGGCCACAUGAAGUCCCUAGAUGCUGCGCUGAGCACGAUAAAGUCGGCUCCGAAGGACUCACACAGAACACCCCCCCACCCCGUGUUGGCGGGGGCGGGGGGGGGGGUGCUCCCAGCAAAGGAAAGAGCACUGUGAAGGUCUGGAGGGCUGCUGUCGGCAACGAACAAGACAACACGGAAAGCACCUACACGGUUUCCUCCUUGGAGCAGGAGAGCCCGGGACUGUUAUCUUCGAAGUGGACACCAGGGGGCAGCAUAGGACCAAGUCACGCAGGCCACACCUGUGUCUUGCCGAGGGGAGCGGGAAGAGGGACUUCUGGGAGAAGGUGGGGGGUGGGGCUGGGCGCCUUUCAACUCCACCCUCCAAGCCCAGGCUGUCAGGGGGCCCUUCCCAGGUCUGUUCACACGCAUCACUCAUUCCUUCACAGAAAGGUGGACAGAUUGUUGCUUUCACGUUGCUCACAGCCUAGAGAAGAGACAGUCUCUGAACAAGCAGUAAUUAAUGCAAUGACUUUAAGUAAUUAAAGCAAAUAGAUGUGUUCUCUGAA